UCUAUUUGAUUUCCUUGAAAAGUUACAUUUCAGUAUGUGAGAUUUCCUUCUUAUAUCUCCUCUGGUUCUCACUUAACAGAAUCUGUUUUACACGAGAGCUGUUGAAGAAAUGGCCAACUUCCUAACUGCAGAAGACUAACCGAAUACCGGUCACUACAGCUAAGGUACAAAGUAAAGCUAAGAUACAGAGUAAAGGAAAAACAGAGUAGAUGAGCAGAGUAGCGGUUUAGUCGACUUUGCAGCAUCUUUUCCUACAAUCUCUCGAUCCGUAUAUCAUCCUUCUUCUUUCCUUUCUUUAUUCUUAACAGUAGAUCUUCUUCUUUCUGUACAUUUCUUGACACCAUUUAUACAGUCAGCUUCUUCCUGUCUUUUGUCCUUAAC
rnacentral:lncRNA from 1 species